rnacentral:rRNA from 1 species
GACGAACGCUGGCGGCGUGCUUAAUACAUGCAAGUCGAACGGAAAUGCUCUGCUUUUUUGGUGUGCUCGAGUUGCGAACGGGUUAGUAACCCGCGUGUCACCUGCCCUUGACUUUGGGAUAACUCCGCUAAACUCGGGCUCAUACCCUCUAUGAGCUCCUGCUGCAUGCUGUGCGUUGGAAAGUUUCGGCGGUUGGGGAUGGACUCGCGGCUUAUCAGCUUGUUGGUAGGGUAGUGGCUUACCACAGCUUUGACGGGUAGCCGGCCUGAGAGGGUGACAGGCCAAAGUGGGACGGAGAUACGACCCAGACUACUACGGGACGGAGGAGUGGAGAAAAUAGCACAAUGGGAGGAAGGCUGAUGCAGCAAAGCCGCGUGCGGGAUGAGGGCAUUCGGGUUGUAAACCGAUUUCGCCUGUGAGGAAGCGUGAGUGACGGUAAUGGGUAAAGAAGCACCGGCUAACUACGUG